UUUUGUCAGUCCAGAUGAUGACACGUGAGAAGAUGGCUAUUCGGAAAGUAAUCCUUGACCGGAGCUUCUCUGCGUCUUCUAGCCACCACCGGAACUUCUCUGUUUCGUCAAGCUACCACUGGAGCUUUUUUUUCUUCAAUCCACCAUCGAGAUAUGGUGUCACAUAAAGAGAACACAAGUAUUGUGGAAUGGUUUCUUGGUCCUAGUCCAUUCACAUAACCUCCUUAUGGCGUUGAGUUGAUUAAUGAGGAAGACAAAGUUCAUCAUCGUCAUUGGACUGGCAGUAGAAGAUCAGAGGUCCCGCGAUGACCUGCGAAGGCCUACUAAUAUUGCGGUACGGGAUUGGGUUAGUCAUUUCGGAGACCGCGGCCCGCGCGGGCCUGACUGGCCGUGACCCAUUUGAAGACGAACCCGCUGCUGUACGGAACGGGACAUGAGGGAUAAAACUGUUUGCCAUCUCUAAGCUUGACCAAAAUCCCUCAACUUGAAAGCAGACUUGAGAAUAUCUUUGAAAGCAGCAGUUGCAUAAUCAUUGUUAGAGACAAUUAGUAUGUCAUCUACGUCACUUGGUACACAUACUUGACGAAUGAUGAAGGAUUUGAAUGUGUUCUAGUGAACCCAUUACCAAGAAUCACAUCGGAAAGUUUAUGAUUUCACUGUCUAGAAGCCUGUUUAAGGCCAUAGAGGGAUUUUUGAACUUGCAAACAGAGUUAAGUGGACACUUCUUGCUAGUAAGUUCUUCAUAACCUUCAGGAAGGCGCUUGUAAAUUUCUUCAACCAACCCCAUUCAAGAACGCGUUACUGAUAUCCAACUGAGAAAGAGACCAGCUUUUAGCAGCUGCAACCGCAAGAAUAACCCUGAAGGUGCCUAACUUGGCAACAUGAGAGAAAAUGUCCAAGCAUUCCGAAUCCUCCAACUGUGUAUAUCCUUUCACGACCAGGCGAGAUUAAGCCUUUCAACUGUGCCAUCAGGAUUAUAUUUGUAGGUAUGUACCCACUUACAACCAGUCGGUGUUUAUCUGGAGACAAUGAGCAAACAGACCAAGUCCCCGAGUCUUCUAGAGAAGUAAUUCACACCUCAUGGAGUUUUUGAAUCUAUCAGACAUAACAGCCUCCUUAUGGGUUUCAGAUGGCUUGGUAGUGGUUAUAGAAAGGAUAAAUUGUUUAUGAGAGGUAUCAUAUUUGUCAUAAGACAAAAAGCAGAGAUUGGGUAAGAUUUAGUAUGAGUAAGAUUAAGGGGAAUGCUGAGAAUUUCAUCCAAAAGAUAGCAAUGAUAUUGAUCAAGAUAAGCUGGUGCAUUUGUUUGUCGUUUAGAUCGAGUACCAGGAAUGGGAUUAUCAUUCUGUGAAGGAAGAGAAACAUACACAAUAGAUGAUUGAGAUGAAGGAUGUGAGUUAUGAGAAACAUUGUCUGGAAAAACAGAAGAAGGAAUGUUGGAACCAAUGUCAAAGAAAGCUGGAAAAGAAGUCUGGAACAGGUAAAGUAAGCAUGUCUUGAUCGAAAAAUGCAGUGUAAUGACGCGGAAGAAGAAGAUUUUUAUGAAAGCGAAAAACAACUUCAUGGAAGACAACAUUGCGAGUAAUGGAGAUCUCUUCGGUAGCUAUGUGGAGGACUUUGUAACCCUUAUAUCCAUGAGGAUAACCAAUGAAGACACAUGGAUCAGCCCGAGGAGAAAUUUUUUUUUUUGAUCUUUGAGUAAGUAGAAGAGAAACACAAACAACCAAAGACACGCAAAUGAUAAUAGAAGGAGCAUGGUUAGUGAGAAGUUCAAAGGGAGAUUUAUCUUGUAAAAGAGGAGAAGAAGUACGGUUGAUGAGAUACACGGCUGUUUGAACACACUCGCUCCAAUAGGCUAAAGGAAUCUGAAAUUGAAACAGAAGAGCGCGAAAAUGCAAAACUGAUUAAUGCUCAAGUGAGUUUACAACUAUACGAUAUCGAGUCUUUAUACGUACUAGAUCCGAUGUCCGCAUUACGUGCGGAAAAUGUUUGAUGUUCAAUUGACAAAGACUAUAUUUAUUCUUUAUAUUCUUGUAUAUGAACAUUGUGUAUUUAACAUUGGGGUCAAUUAGGAUCAAAUACUUUAAAAUAACAA